CCAGACUCCUACGGGAGGCAGCAGUGGGGGAUAUUGCACAAUGGGGGGAACCCUGAUGCAGCGACGCCGCGUGGGUGAAGGAGUAUUUCGGUAUGUAAAGCCCUAUCGGCAGGGAAGAAGCAAGACGGUACCUGACUAAGAAGCCCCGGCUAACUACGUGCCAGCAGCCGCGGUAAUACGUAGGGGGCGAGCGUUAUCCGGAUUCACUGGGUGUAAAGGGAGCGUAGACGGCCAUGCAAGCCAGGGGUGAAAGCCCGGGGCCCAACCCCGGGACUGCCCUUGGAACUGCAUGGCUGGAGUACAGGAGGGGCAGGCGGAAUUCCUAGUGUAGCGGUGAAAUGCGUAGAUAUUAGGAGGAACACCGGUGGCGAAGGCGGCCUGCUGGACUGUGACUGACGUUGAGGCCCGAAGGCGUGGGGAGCAAACAGGAUUAGAUACCCGUGUAG
rnacentral:rRNA from 1 species